rnacentral:tRNA from 3 species
CGGGGUGUAGCGCAGUCUGGUAGCGCAUCUGCUUUGGGAGCAGAGGGUCGGGAGUUCGAAUCUCUCCACCCCGACCA